GAUGAACGCUGGCGGCGUGCCUAAUACAUGCAAGUAGAACGCUGAAGGAGGAGCUUGCUCUUCUGGAUGAGUUGCGAACGGGUGAGUAACGCGUAGGUAACCUGCCUUGUAGCGGGGUAGAACUAUUGGAAACGAUAGCUAAUACCGCAUGACAACAGUUAUUGCAUGAUAACUGUUUAAAAGGGGCAACUGCUCCACUACCAGAUGGACCUGCGUUGUAUUAGCUAGUUGGUGAGGUAACGGCUCACCAAGGCGACGAUACAUAGCCGACCUGAGAGGGGGAUCGGGCACACUGGGACUGAGACACGGCCCAGACCCCUACGGGAGGCAGCAGUAGGGAAUCUUCGGCAAUGGACGGAAGUCUGACCGAGCAACGCCGCGUGAGUGAAGAAGGUUUUCGGAUCGUAAAGCUCUGUUGUAAGAGAAGAACGAGUGUGAGAGUGGAAAGUUCACACUGUGACGGUAUCUUACCAGAAAGGGACGGCUAACUACGUG
rnacentral:rRNA from 1 species